rnacentral:rRNA from 1 species
CCGCAACGAGCGUAACCCUNNNNNUUAGUUGCCAUCANUNAGUUGGGCACNUUAAAGAGACUGCCGGUGAUAAACCGGAGGAANGUGAGGACGACGUCAAGUCAGCAUGCCCCUUACGCCCUGGGCUACACACGUACUACAAUGGCCGAGACAAAGAGUCGCAAGUUUGCAAAGACNAAGCUAAUCUCAUAAACUCGGUCUCAGUUCGGAUUGUAGGCUGCAACUCGCCUACAUGAAGUUGGAAUCGCUAGUAAUCGCCGGUCAGCUAUACGGCGGUGAAUCCGUUCCCGGGCCUUGUACACACCGCCCGUCACANCCAUGGAAGCUGUUCAUGCCCAAAGUCGUUACCUUAACCGCAAGG